GCCACGGAGCUGGACUACGCCAUUUACCUGGCCAAGAAGAACAUCCGCAAGCAGGGCGACCUGAUCGAGCACGAGAAGGACAACUACAACCUCCUGCACAAGCGGA